GGGGAUUUAGCUCAGCAGCACAAGCACCUGCCUGGCAAGCAGGGUCAUGAGUUCAAUCCCCG
rnacentral:tRNA from 1 species